rnacentral:tRNA from 1 species
GCCCAAGUGGCGGAAUGGCAUACGCGGUCGGCUCAAACCCGGCUGUCCUUUGGACAUGGAGGUUCGACUCCUCUCUUGGGCA